ensembl:lncRNA
AUUAUAAAUCAAGAAUUACAACUAUAUUCUGUCCGACUAAUAGUUUUAAAAUAAACUCUAAAUUGAUGAAUGAAUUUGUUUUUGGCUGCAGUGUGACCGGGAAAACAGGGAAGUCAGUCCAGGAACAGAUUGAUAAAUUCAGUAUCAUCCAAAGUGGCACUGCUUACUCGCCAUCUUCCAUGCUAUACCACAUGGAAAACUUCAUCAAAACAGAGGAAACCAAAGUAAAGGCAUUGCUCAAAAGAGAAGUGGUUGCGAGAAAGAAGAAAAUCUACUCAUCAAUCGAAACAACUAUUCAGAAUAGAAUGACUGCUGGCUAUGAGCAAGCUGCAAAUUUGAAAGGAAUAAAAGCAAUGGAGAGGAGGGAGAAUAAAAUAACAGAAACAAUUGAAUUGUUAAAACACAGCAUGUUCAAAGAUGCAAAAAUGGAAGUUCUGAGUCAGUUCAAGGAUUUAAAGGAGCAGAUAUGCAAGACCCUUGAAUCUGAGCUAAAGGGAUCAGUGGAACGCUCACUUUCACAAACCAGCAGAACCCCCCUGAUGGAUGUCACUGGAAAGAUUGAAACGUUGGAGAGACUGUCAAAGUCUAUCAUCUGACUGUCUAUCAUCUGAAAAGCAGCAUCUCAGCAUUUUUCAGUGAAAGUUAUUUAGUUAGUUAUUUAUAGACUAAACUUUUGAUUGUGUAACUAAUCGCAUAAGAAAAACUAUUUUGAGGUGUAGACUAUUGCUGUUAUUAAUGAAUACAACUAAACAUAGGCUGAAGUAGAAUAUGUUAGUUGUUGGGUCAGUGGACCCAAUAAAUAUGGUGCACUCUCCUGACCA